GACAAAUGUUUCCAUAGUAAUUUCUACUAACACGAGCCCCGAUUGAAUUAACGUAAAGCACAAAAUGAUGCUAAUUGUGAAUGAGGUACGUCAUAAAAAAACCCAUCCAUUGCAUCAGUGUCCAGUAAGGGGCAUACUUUUCAGAUUUUAAUAAAAAAUUCACAGAUUUCGCAAUCCAUGCCAACCAUCAAGAGAUAUUGGAAAUCACAACGUAGAACGCCAUAUAUAAAACACAAUUAUUUAAUCGAAUCACUCUUCUGAAUAAUGAGCCUAGUUUGCAUAGACGCAAUUAUCUCCAUUUUUAUCAUAAUUUAUUUCCUUCGUUUUGUAGAUGAAAAUAUGUCAACUUUUACCGAAUUUUCGCAUUUCGUAGCCAACGCCCAACAUGCGAAAACGACGUAACAUGCGGUUGUAAUACUAUCAAAUUAUAUUUGCGAGAAUUUUAGAUUGGAAUUAACAAAGCAAUUGAGCACUGUUAUGUAAGUACCCUAUCGACAGUAACCGUGACUUUUCUUCACCUACCGAUCACGGUCGAGUACGGUACAAUCGUCACUUGAUGCAACACCGUUGUCUUUUCGCAGCUUGAACGAAACUCAUAACUUUGUACCCAUAUACCUAGGAAACCAAAAACAUCUGUUAAAAAACAAUGUUAAAAAAAAGCAUUGCAUCAAAAAGAUCUGACAACUGGGAAGUGCGAGACGAGCAAUGGUUGUAUGAAGCACCCAAAUUUACCUAUAGUUAUGUUUUAAAUUACUUGUUGCAGUGCAACCUAAAGUUAAACUUAACUGAUAGACCUAAUCAUUCAAUAUUGUGAAAACUUUUUUUAAUUUACUACAUUGAAUUAUUUGAUGAUUAAUAAAUGCGUUUUAUUUUC